CUUCCAGAAAAACCUUGUUAAAAUUCCAUGAUUAAGUUGAAGAGAGGAUUAGGGUAAUUCCCAUGUUAGUCAUGGAGUUGAGUCUCUCUUUCAACUUGUCCAAAUUAAUUUUCAUUCCUAGGGUUCAUAAAAAUUCUGUAAAAAAUGAAUGUUUUCAAUUUGGAACAUACUAGAUUCCUCAUGGCUUCAAAUAUUUUGGAAAAAAAAGACCUUUUCCCUUGUGGGUCUAUCCUUACAUUUAACCUGCAAGGUACUGCCACUACUUCUCUCCUCAAUUCAAAUUAUGCAAAUUAAGCACUUUACUGACAGUUUAAGCCUUGAUCUGACAAACAUUUAUACAUGUGAUCUCAGCAAAUUGAGUCACAAUGCACACAGGCAUACCACUGUUCUUAUGCCUAAGUAUUUACAAGAUGGAAGGAUAAAUGUACGGAGCAAAAGUAUUAAGGCCAUAUUAGUUUACCCAGUUUCCUUGCAUUCUUUAUUACAUAUGAAAGAACAUUUUUAUUUGUUAAAAACCCCCUCACCUAAUUAAUGGGUUUGAGGGCAUUCAAUGCUUAUUACUGAGUUUUAUCACAAUAGUGGAAAAAACAGUGGUUGUUUCUUUCUAUGACAUGAAGGCUGCACACACUAUCAGCUAACCCAAAUUCCUCGGCAUAUUCUUUUAACAGAAGAGGAACAAGCACUAACAAAACCAAAAAUCCAACUUCUAGGACAGUGGUUUUUAACUUGGGCUCUGUGGAUCCCCUGAGACCCCAGACUUAUUCUGAGUAGUCUGUGACAGGCAACAGGGAAAAAGCAAAUUUGUAUAUUCUAUAUAGCAAGUUCACACAUGUAAAAUUCCUACGCGGGGGGAGAUUUUGCAGAAUUGUAAGAUUGUUAGUCAUUGGCAACACUUGAAAAUGAUUGUUUAAGGAAGUAGAUAAUCAUGCAUAGCCAGAGAGAAUGCAGUUUUAUGGAGAUAGCAUCAAGUGGGAAAGAAAAACUGAGCGGCACAGGUGUCAAAACAGCUUAAAUAUUUUAAAAAUUGGGAUAAUUAAAACAUUGUUGUUAGUGCUGCUGUCUUUCUCAUAUUUCAGUAAAAUAAGUAGCAUCCUUUGAAUUAUCUGGUCUGAGUGUUUUUUCUAAAUAUGCUUUUUCAUGUUGAUAACCUAUGUGAACUAAAAGCCCUGUAAUUUCUAAUUGUCCUUUUAUUUAGGGAAAUAGUCUCAGAAAGGGGGGAAAAAAAGGCAGUCUUAGUAGUAAGUAAUCUUUACUUGACUAUAUCUUGUAAUUUGGUACAGAACUUAACCAAGUUAUCCUCAUGGACUUUUCUGGCAUGAUCAUUACCUAACAUGUGUAGCCCUGCAUGUUUCUCCAGCCUGUUUCUUACAUCAAGACAAUGCAAGACAUGGAAAGGGAUCUCAUUCAGCAUCACUGCCCGGUGCCUGCAAGCUGUUUGGUCUGGAGAGUUACUAUUGAAAAUCAAGAUAGAGAAGAAGAUCUUCUGAUCAUCUGAUCAGCGUAGCAUCUCUAUUCAGUUGGAUAUCUUCAACAAACAAAAAAAAAUCUUUUCCAGAACAAGGCCUUAAUCAUAUGGUAUGAUAAAGGGCUGAAAGGGUGACAACUUGUAACAAGGGCCUAUGAUAAUUUCUAAUCACCACAAAAGAAAGUUUUACAGUUUUGUAGAACUGCUUCAUAUCGAAUAGGCUGCUAGAAGGAGAUGGACUUGCCUUUUAAAAAGCUAGCUUCAGUAAAUAAAUUUAUUUUCUUUUUAAUUUGCUGAUAAUUCACUUAUUUGAAGUAUUUAAUUUUUCUUGAUUGGCUUUCCAAUGAAAUCAAGUAAUCAUUUUAUUGUCUUGGGAUCAGAAGUCUUACUUUUUUCUGACUCAUGCAGUCUGCAGAGUCCUGGACUCCCUCCUUAGCCAUAGCCAGAAUUCACUGGUGUGAAUGAACCUGUUGGCUUCUCUGAAAAUGUAUGUAUGUAACACCUACAAAAAAGAAACACUGGAAAUUUCCAGAAGAAAUUUCAUAAUACUCCUGACAUCUAGGUAAUAAAAAUUAAGAAACCGGAACCCUAAUUGUUUAUUUACAAAUUGUUUAUUGUUAAUGUACUUUAAUGAAAUUGUAAUAAUUUGCUUUAUGUUAAAUUAUGUUAAUCUGCUUUGAUGAAAUUGUAAGAGCUGUCAUGCGAUUGUCACUUUCAUUAUAAAACAGAAUUUUUAACACCUAUAGUUAGAUUUGCCUAAUAUUUUCUAUCCCCAAAUCUUAUUUUCAUUAACUAUAAUAUUUCCUUUUUUAGAUAACAAGAUUGAAUUCUGUGGGCUGGUUGGCUGUUUCAAGCCAAGUGCUUUUUGAAAACUUCAGAAAAAUCCUUUGUCCUUUUUGAAGAAUGAGAUCAAGGAAAAUAUGUCUUUUUAUUUUUGUUAUAAAAUUCUUACUGCCAUCUCACUGAGGGAUUUUACUCCAGGCUCUGGAGCAUAGACUUUAACUUUGGGAGGAGCAUGAUUCUUAUGUUGACGUUGUGCCUUUUUCAAUCACUGUUAAAGUUGACCAAAAUCUGGCAUUGUUACAGAUCUGAAAAUUAUGUUGUUAUAGUUCAGAAGAGUUUCACAUCUCUAUCCCCUGAUGGAUCUGUCUGCAUCUAAUAUACCUCUUAUUCCCCCAACAACUGCUGUGUUGCAAAAGUUCUGCAAACAAGCCAUCUUCAUAGAACAAGUCAACGUCCCCUAUUUGGAGACUGGAGGAGCUGCUCUGGAGUUUCCAGUGCUUUCUGUUAUAUUAAGCACCUGAAAGAUGGUAGAGACUCUAUUUUCAUGAGUUGGUUGCUCCCCUUGAAAGGCCCCAACAGCACGGAGGAGGAACUGGGUCUGACUGAGCUAUCAAAGGGUAACUAACUGAAGGAAAGGGUUGAGACAAUGCUUCUCUUGGAUGCAAUACUGGGAAAAAAAAUCGUAAUGCUUUAAGAUUCCCUCACAAAACAACAGAAACAUAUGGCUUCCUCCAGAGAAGAAACUGUUGUCAAUAUAAGCUGCAGUUACACUUCACAGAUACCUUCCUUUGAUGUGGAUUAUAAUAGUGAUAAUUAUGUUUUCCAUAGAAAACAUGAAGGUAGAAUAUAAAAUGGCCCAGCAUGAUAAUAUAAUUGAUAUGCUGUUGAUACCCUUUUCUGCCUCAAGGAGAGAAAACACAAUUACAAAAACUGAGUUUUAGAUCACAGUCAAUGUUCCCCAAAAUUGCAGAUGAAGAUAAACAUAUUACAUGGUUUGUUCCAAGGAUUCAAGAAGUUUAGAGCAUUUAGAAAGUUAGGAAAGUGUGGAUUCAAGCAUCUGAAAAAUUGUUUUUAUUGACAAGUAGAUUAAUAAUAGUAGUGCUCUUAUUAAAAGCGUUUACAAUUUGUCUGCAGAAAUUCAAUCCAAGUUAAAAUUUGACACGCAGUGAAGUAGCCAUGCAGAAAUAUUUUCCAUACUUUCAGAGAAAUCUGAUGAUUAAAAAAAAUCUUCCUGGUUUUUGAAUAAUUUUUACAUUAGUAGGACUUCAAAAUGGCUUUAUUCUCUAAAAUGACAUUUUGGAGAUCUUCUUUCUGUUUUCUAGUAAUGCAAGCCUAAAAUAUCCCCAAAUGCUACCUGAAUUUACAUGACUGGAUCAUUAACCUGAACUUUAGGAAGUCUCUAAACAUUUAGUCAUAGGGGACAAAUAUUCUCCCUUGGUUACGUUAGACUCCUAGCAGCCUGGAGACUGGGGGUUUUGUCCUCACAGUGCCAGGUACGCCCUGUGGAAAGUCUGAGCUCUGCGGACACAGAUGUGUCCGAAACUAAGCUCUUCAAACCAAAAUAAGCUUUUUCCUGUGGCACUGUGGUUUGCUACUGUUAACAGCUGCCACCUUGUCUCUUUCCAAGAGGUCUCCAUCCCCAGCGCUGAGGGGAUCAUGUGCUUGUACCCCUCUUCACCAGUUUGCUGUCUACUACGUUAGUUCGAACUCGCCACCAGUGUGAGCUGAACAGCUGAGCUAUGCCCCCAGGUAGCUACUGGGCAGUGGAUUAGAAAAAAAGCAUAGUGACUCUGAGGCCAAGGGGCAGGAGGGUUGUUUGGAUUAAGGUGUUAACAACUGUCAUGGCAAGAUGAGCCAAGGCUCCUCUGUCAAAGCCCUAAAUCUACGUCAUUCCUCUUUAUAAACCCCACUCUGCUGCUUCUGACCUUAGGAUCAAUGGGAGUUGCUGAGUGCUCGUCAUUUCUGAAGGUUAGUCCAUUUUUUUCCCAGAGUCUUAACAAAAGUAUUUAGGAGUUGAAAUUAAGGUUUUGUUGGGUUUUUGGGGGGUUGCUUUGCUUUGUUUUGGUUUUUUUGGUUUUUGUUUUUUUUUUUUAAAUUGUAGCCCCAGAUUUGUUUCUAUGUUAAGGAGCACAAUGCAGUACAUGUGCAGAUUCUGAAAAUAAAAAAAUAAAUUAAUAAAUAAACAAACAAAUAAAUAAAUCAAUCUAGUUCUUUGGCUUUAAAAUAAAAUCUCUUACUUUUUCUCCACUGCUAAUGGAUCACAUCCACUGUUUUUUAUAUUUUCUGAAGUCAGAAGGAACCAUUUUCAUAAUUUAGUUUGACCUUAUCAAAACAUAGGCUUAAGAAUAUUGCCUAGUGAUUUUCCUAACAGGGCCAAGAACUUGUGCAGAGCAAGGGCAUGUUUUUGAGGCAGACAUGGAAGCUUGAUUUAGAGUGACAGAAUCCACCACAAGUCUUGUUACAGUUAAAUUUUCCCGGUGAAUACGGUUCUUCUGUGGAAAGUCUUACUUCACAAGUCAGGGACAGACACUUUUUCCACCUAGGUCUUUCUUUGAACCACUUUGGAGAGGGUGCAAUAUCAGCUGCUGCUCUAACCUCAUCUGUUCACAGUUCCUGAGCUGCAGGCAACAGCAGGGAGCUCAGCAUGGGCUAAACACCCAAGCAUUCACUUUGAUUUGCAGAAGGAUUUUGCAUCCAGCGCUGAGCUUUGUGCUUCUGCUACCUGGUCUAAUGCUACUGCAGUGGAAUCUACAUUGCAUAGCAGUUACUGCACAGACAAGAAUAGUUUUUGCAGAAAAACAAAUAAACAUUGAAAAUGCUUAUAUGCCUCACACGGUUUGUAGUCAGUCAUUCUUUAUGCAUGCUUGUGAUUUACCUUAAAAUUGUUAGAUUGGAAUGUUAUAUACCCUAGAUUAAAUGAACAAAAGUCUAUAGGCUGACCUUUGAUGUAAUAUUGGUUAUAAAACACUGCUGAAGUAGUUGCUGCUUGAACAUUUUUGUUUGUUUGUUUUUUAAAAUAAAUCCAAUUUUCACUUAAAAAUUA